rnacentral:rRNA from 1 species
GCGAGCGUUGUCCGGAUUUAUUGGGCGUAAAGGGCUCGUAGGUGGUUGAUCGCGUCGGAAGUGUAAUCUUGGGGCUUAACCCUGAGCGUGCUUUCGAUACGGGUUGACUUGAGGAAGGUAGGGGAGAAUGGAAUUCCUGGUGGAGCGGUGGAAUGCGCAGAUAACAGGAGGAACACCAGUGGCGAAGGCGGUUCUCUGGGCCUUUCCUGACGCUGAGGAGCGAAAGCGUGGGGAGCGAACAGGCUUAGAUACCCUGGUAGUCCACGCUGUAAACGGUGGGUACUAGGUGUGGGGUCCAUUCCACGGGUUCCGUGCCGUAGCUAACGCUUUAAGUACCCCGCCUGGGGAGUACGGCCGCAAGGCUAAAACUCAAAGGAAUUGACGGGGCCCCGCACAAGCGGCGGAGCAUGCGGAUUAAUUCGAUGCAACGCGUAGAACCUUACCUGGGUUUGACAUGGAUCGGGAGUGCUCAGAGAUGGGUGUGCCUCUUUUGGGGUCGGUUCACAGGUGGUGCAUGGCUGUCGUCAGCUCGUGUCGUGAGAUGUUGGGUUAAGUCCCGCAACGAGCGCAACCCUUGUUCACUGUUGCCAGCACGUUAUGGUGGGGACUCAGUGGAGACCGCCGGGGUCAACUCGGAGGAAGGUGGGGAUGACGUCAAGUCAUCAUGCCCCUUAUGUCCAGGGCUUCACGCAUGCUACAAUGGCUGGUACAGAGAGUGGCGAGCCUGUGAGGGUGAGCGAAUCUCGGAAAGCCGGUCUCAGUUCGGAUUGGGGUCUGCAACUCGACCUCAUGAAGUCGGAGUCGCUAGUAAUCGCAGAUCAGCAACGCUGCGGUGAAUACGUUCCCGGGGCUUGUACACACCGCCCGUCAAGUCAUGAAAGUUGGUAACACCCGAAGCCGGUGGCCUAACC